rfam:Clostridium sp. 7_2_43FAA genomic scaffold supercont2.3, whole genome shotgun sequence.
UAUGGAAAAAAAUACUGUCUUCAUAUAUUUUUGGUAAUAUGGUCCAAAAGUCUCUACCAGAACUCCGUAAAGGUUCUGACUAUGAUGAUUUAUUUAUUACUA